rnacentral:snRNA from 1 species
GGAUUUGAGUGUGAUGUGGCUACAACAUAUGUUACCCUAUCGAUCCCCAGGGUUGAUUUGGCUGUUCUGGCUAGCUUUGUCCCUCAUACUCCAUGUGUGUCCUGCCAGAAGCUGCACACUUGGUUGAAGAUGAUGACCACCACUGGUUAUAGGAACAUUUUCUCUAUCAAGGGUGCAUGAGUAGCUAUACUCCCCUGCUAGAACCUCCAAAAAAAGCUCUCAAAAUGAGAAUUUGAAUAAUAUAUAAUAUCUCCAAGAGGAAUUACAUCAAUUGUAGAGGGAAGUUCUAUCAUU